AUCAGACCUCUGAUCAGAGAAGACUACCCGCU
rnacentral:rRNA from 1 species